GACGAAGGGGGCUAGCGUUGUUCGGAAUUACUGGGCGUAAAGCGAGUGUAGGUGGUUGUCGUAGUCAGGCGUGAAAGCCUUGAGCUCAACUCAAGAAAUGCGCUUGAUACUGGGCAGCUAGAGGACCGGAGAGGAUAGUGGAAUUCCCAGUGUAGUGGUGAAAUACGUAGAGAUUGGGAAGAACACCAGUGGCGAAGGCGGCUAUCUGGACGGUUUCUGACACUAAGACUCAAAAGCGUGGGGAGCAAACAGG
rnacentral:rRNA from 1 species